rnacentral:lncRNA from 1 species
GGGGCUCAUGGCGGCCGCCAGAGGCCGAGGAAUUCUGCCAGAAGGCCGACCGGUUCUGGGCCUUCCAGGAGGGCUCCGGCAGGUGGGUCGAAGUCAGCCUUCCCUACGACCUGGUCUCCUGCUCCAUGGGCACCUGCACAAGAGUCGCCACCAUCCAUGGGAAGGAAGAGGAGCGGAGCCCGCCACCUGCUGCGCGAGGCGCAGAGGAGGAAGACGAGGGGGCGGCAGGGAAGGAGGGGCCUGACCAGGAAUUGCCGGUGAGGAGGGGCUUCUCUCUCGCCAGGAUGUCGGAGGGGUCCAUCUGGGUGACCGGGCAGAGCGGCAGCAUAUAUGAGAGGUUCUGGAACGGGGUCCAGUGGGUGGCGGCGCCCCACGAGCUGCCGCUGGACGCCGGCCGGGCAGUGUCGGUAUUCAUCGUCUAUCAGAGCGUCCUCGCCCUCUCAGAGCUCGGGAAGCUUGACAAGGUACUGCCGGCAUCCUCCAUCUCUGAUUUCACUGCCCAGGAGUUGCAAGCAAACUUAACAAAUGGAAUUUCGGCGAUGAUCAAUACAAAGAUUUAGAACUAGAAAAAAAAAGUCAACGUAAAAAAUAUAACCGGGUACGUUCUA